AGUGAACGCUGGCGGCAGGCCUAAUACAUGCAAGUCGAACGGCAGCACGGCAGAGCUUGCUCUGUGGGUGGCGAGUGGCGGACGGGUGAGGAAUACAUGGGGAUCUGCCCAGUCGUGGGGGAUAACGUAGGGAAACUUACGCUAAUACCGCAUGCGCCCUUCGGGGAAAGCCGGGGACCUUCGGGCCUGGCGCGAUUGGAUGAGCCCAUGUCGGAUUAGCUAGUUGGCGGGGUAAUGGCCCACCAAGGCGACGAUCCGUAGCUGGUCUGAGAGGAUGAUCAGCCACACUGGAACUGAGACACGGUCCAGACUCCUACGGGAGGCAGCAGUAGGGAAUAUUGGACAAUGGGCGCAAGCCUGAUCCAGCCAUGCCGCGUGAGUGAAGAAGGCCCUCGGGUUGUAAAGCGUCUUUUGUCCGGAAAGAAAAGCGCCGGGUUAAUACCCUGGUGUCCUGACGGUACCGAAGAAUAAGACACCGGCUAAACUUCGUGCCAGCGAGCCGCGGUAAUCG
rnacentral:rRNA from 1 species